AUUGAACUGGCGGCAGCUUAACAUGCAGUCGAACGUACAGGAGCAGCUUCUGCUUUGCUGACGAUGGCGACGGUGAUAAUGUCUGGGAACUGCUGAUGGAGGGGGAUAACUACUGGAAACGGUAGCUAAUACCGCAUAACGUCGCAGGCCAAAGAGGGGGACCUUCGGCCUCUUGCCAUCGGAUGUGCCCAGAUGGGAUUAGCUAGUAGGUGGGGUAACGGCUCACCUAGGCGACGAUCCCUAGCUGGUCUGAGAGGAUGACCAGCCACACUGGAACUGAGACACGGUCCAGACUCCUACGGGAGGCAGCAGUGGGGAAUAUUGCACAAUGGGCGCAAGCCUGAUGCAGCCAUGCCGCGUGUAUGAAGAAGGCCUUCGGGUUGUAAAGUACUUUGCAGCGGGGAGGAAGGCGAUAAGGUUAAUAACCUUGUCGAUUGACGUUACCCGCAGAAGA
rnacentral:rRNA from 1 species